rnacentral:RNase_P_RNA from 1 species
ACUUUGCAUCGGAUAAUUGCGCCUCGCAUAGCUUUAGCUAUAUGGGGUGAGGAAAGUCCGAACACUCACGAAUCCGCCUUCGCUCGCAAGAGCUAUGGCGGACGAAGCAGGGUAGCGGGUAAUUCCCGUCUGGAGCAAUCCACGAGGUGCGAACAGUGACGAACCGAUUUAGUUCGGGUGAAACGGCUAAAUCCUUACUUGAGUGCAAGGCCGUGCUUUGUUCGCCGAAGCUGCGUAGCAGCGCAGGAGAAUCCUCCUCCGCUAUUACAUAGCUCCGGCGGACGAAGAGUGCCGCUUGACUCUACAAGUAAUUGUAGAGCUAGAUAAAUAAUUAUCGAUAACAGAAUUCGGCUUAUAGGUGCAAAGUAACA